rnacentral:lncRNA from 14 species
UUUUAUUACUGGCUAAUUUCAUGUUUAAUACAUAGUCUUUCCAAUAGUUUUAAUGUGCACCCAUGUGAUCCGUCUGCAGAUUUCAAUGGGACAGAUGUUACAAGAUUUUGGGAAAUUUCUAGGAAUGUUCCUUCUUGUUCUGUUUUCCUUCACGAUUGGACUGACACAGCUCUAUGACAAAGGGUACACUUCCAAAGAGCAGAAGGACUGCGUAGGCAUCUUCUGUGAACAGCAAAGCAACGACACCUUCCACUCGUUCAUUGGCACCUGCUUUGCUCUGUUCUGGUACAUCUUCUCCUUAGCGCAUGUGGCCAUCUUUGUCACCAGGUUUAGCUAUGGGGAAGAACUGCAGUCCUUCGUUGGGGCUGUGAUUGUCGGAACUUACAAUGUCGUGGUUGUGAUCGUGCUUACAAAGCUACUGGUAGCGAUGCUUCAUAAGAGCUUCCAGCUGAUAGCAAAUCAUGAGGAUAAAGAAUGGAAGUUUGCUCGAGCGAAGCUAUGGCUCAGCUACUUUGAUGACAAAUGCACACUGCCCCCACCUUUCAACAUCAUUCCUUCUCCAAAGACUAUCUGCUAUAUGAUCAGCAGCCUCAGCAAGUGGGUGUGCUCGCACACCUCCAAAGGCAAGGUCAGACGGCAGAACAGCUUGAAGGUGAGCUAUUAGAGGUUUGAACUGCACCACACUUUUACAACUGCUAGUUCUGUUGGAGCUCUUCCUGCCUUAUCUGUUGACAGUAUGGCAACAGUAUGUGACAGGAAUGCCUUAUACGUCUUACUGUAUAGCUAGCAUGGGAC